ACCUCUGCACAGUGGCAGUAUCAUAGUCGGUGAGGUUUAUCUAAUGUGUGAUUAUUGCUAAUUGAAAACUUCCCAAUAUCUCACCAUGAUGACUUGAAAUGUAGUCAGCAUGGGCAAUUUUUGAGUGUCUUUAUGGAGA
ensembl:snRNA U4 U4 spliceosomal RNA